rnacentral:rRNA from 1 species
CAAGGCCUCCCGCGAGGGGAUCUCCACGACGACCUGCCGCUACCCGACGACGUGCUCGCCGACCUCCUCCGCCGUCUCGCGCCGCAAUCGCUCGCCGCGGCGCGGUGCGUCCGCAAGGCCUGGCGCCGCACCAUCGACGAGCGCCAUCUUCUUCGCGCGGACAAGCUCCCACUCUCGCUCGCCGGCAUCUUCAUCCAGUUUGACUACCAUGUGUUCCCCGAGUUCUUCGCCCGCCCCUCUUCCUCGGCUCAUGCGGCGGUCAACACCAAGCUCGACUUCUUGCCUCGCCCCAGCUAUCCCUUUGGUGAGGUAGGCGACUUAGUCUUCCAAGACUAUUUCGUUCAAGACCACUGCAAUGGGCUCCUCUUGACCUACGGGUACGUGGUUAACCCUGCCACACGGUGCUGGGAUCCUUUUACUCCACACCCUUACCCGACCGAUCCAAUGGGGGUCACCAAUUUAUCGAGGGAUUAUCUAGCCUUCGAUCCCGCCGUGUCGCCCCACUACCAGGUGUUAAGCAUCCCCUAUUUGCACGAGGAGAGCACCUACAAGAGCAUGGUCGCUCGCGGUUCCGCUCAAUUAGACCCCUUAAUGGAGAAAUCCGAAUGGCCACCAUCUACAUUCAUCCUAUAUGUCUUCUCAUCAAGAUCAGGUCAGUGGGAGAGAAGGUCUUUUGCGAGACAAGUAAUGCUGCAGGGGUUGUAG